rnacentral:rRNA from 1 species
UGGCUCAGAGUGAACGCUGGCGGCAGGCCUAACACAUGCAAGUCGAGCGGCAGCGCGGGGGCAACCCGUGGCGGCGAGCGGCGGACGGGUGAGGAAUACAUCGGAAUCUGCCUUGUUGUGGGGGAUAACGUAGGGAAACUUACGCUAAUACCGCAUGAGACCGUAAGGUGAAAGUGGGGGAUCGCAAGACCUCACGCGACAAGAUGAGCCGAUGUCGGAUUAGCUAGUUGGUGAGGUAAAGGCUCACCAAGGCAACGAUCCGUAGCUGGUCUGAGAGGAUGAUCAGCCACACUGGGACUGAGACACGGCCCAGACUCCUACGGGAGGCAGCAGUGGGGAAUAUUGGACAAUGGGCGCAAGCCUGAUCCAGCCAUGCCGCGUGUGUGAAGAAGGCCUUCGGGUUGUAAAGCACUUUUGUUGGGAAAGAAAUCCUGUCGAUUAAUACUCGGCGGGGAUGACGGUACCCAAAGAAUAAGCACCGGCUAACUUCGUG